rnacentral:rRNA from 1 species
ACGUAGGGUCCGAGCGUUGUCCGGAAUUAUUGGGCGUAAAGAGAACGUAGGCGGUUCUUUAAGUCUGGUCUUAAAGACCGAGGCUCAACCUCGGGAAUGGACUGGAUACUGGAGAACUGGAGGAUGUCAGAGGAAGGUGGAAUUCCGAGUGUAGCGGUGAAAUGCGUAGAUAUUCGGAGGAACACCGGUGGCGAAAGCGGCCUUCUGGGACAUACCUGACGCUGAGGUUCGAAAGCUCGGGGAGCAAACAGGA